GGAGAGAUGGCAGAGUCUGGCUGAAUGCGCUGCACUCGAAAUGCAGUUACCCUUGGGGACCCGGGGGGUUUGAAUCCCUCUCUCUCCGC
rnacentral:tRNA from 1 species